CUACGGGUCGCUGCAGUGGGGAAUAUUGCACAAUGGAGGAAACUCUGAUGCAGCAACGCCGCGUGGAGGAUGACACAUUUCGGUGCGUAAACUCCUUUUAUUAGGGAAGAUAAUGACGGUACCUAAUGAAUAAGCACCGGCUAACUCCGUGCCAGCAGCCGCGGUAAUACGGAGGGUGCAAGCGUUACUCGGAAUCACUGGGCGUAAAGCGCGCGCAGGCGGCCUUUUAAGUUGGAUGUGAAAGCCUACGGCUCAACCGUAGAACUGCAUCCAAAACUAUUGGGCUAGAGUGUGGGAGAGGAAGAUGGAAUUAGUUGUGUAGGGGUAAAAUCCGUAGAGAUAACUAGGAAUACCAAAAGCGAAGGCAAUCUUCUGGAACACUACUGACGCUGAGGCGCGAAAGCGUGGGGAGCAAACAGGAUUAGAUACCCUCGUAGUC
rnacentral:rRNA from 1 species